UAAAUGUUUGAAAUCGGUGUUGUAGACAAAAAAAAAAUCGUGUCAACGUAUUCAUUGAUGAUAAGAGUCCAGCGUCGGUGUGAACUCCUUUAAUACAGUUUAAAAUCAUCUCAGGGAAAUUAGUGAGAAAAUGCCAGGAAUACACUUCUGGAAAUUCUAGGCAAAAAGUGCGUCUACUUUGAAGAUGAUAAAAUAUUAAAUUAUUUCGAUUUAUUUUUUAUUUUUUUUUUAGUUCCAUUUGUGUUACUCCAGAGUUUUGAUGACUUUAUCAUUAUUCUAAAACGUGGGAAAAUAAAAAUAAAAAAUGAGUGUGUAUAAACUUUUGACCGGUAGUGUGUAUAUAUAUAAAUGAUGAAAUCUGACCUGAAUAAUUAAAAUGGAGCUCGUACCGCUUAGACCUCGAAGCGCUUGGCGCAUGCGCACAUGUUGUUAUGACGACGUGUUCUCCACGCUUGUAACAAAAAAAAAAACAGGAACGCUAAAAUAGCAAGCUACAACAAAAUAAAACUUUGAAACUUUUUUAAAAAAAUACUUUUAUGUCAACAGAGCAUCGGAGAGAACUAUAGAACAUCAUGUUACGUGUUUGAAAAAGAAGACUACAAAUACAUUUUUAUUUCUAGGAAAUAACUUUUUGACAUGGCAUGAGGUUUUGCCCCCUGUCUAGUUAAUAAUGUCAUCAUUUAUCUGAUCUGUGGAAAAAACUUGGCCGCUCGUGGAACUAGAACUCAUAUCGGAAUGGCUUCAGCAGUGUUUCCCCGUCAGAAACCACGAUUUCUCCCUGAUAUCAAUGAGAAGAGCUCUGUCAAAGCCAGCCUGCAUGGAAAAGAAAUGAAAAAACCAAACCGAGGCUCUGCUGAGAGGGAGAGGAUCCAAACCACCACGAUGAAUGCGGAUGAAAUAGCGCAAUUCCGAUACAGUCUGCACCAGAAUCUUUGCGUGUCCAUGCUGCAGGAGGGAUUUCAUGGCUCCUUUAAAAAGUUUUCCUCUCUGCUGCAGCGCUGGAAGGACGAGCGUCUAGCCGCGGGUCCUGACAGCGAGUUGUGGCUGCAACGUUCUCUGGAGGAGCAACCAGACAAACUGGAGAUGCUGAGAGAGCACCUGACCCGCGCUGAGGCUGCACAAAGAGCUGAUCAGUUUGUGGAGGUGUAUGAGAGUCAUUUGGCCUUGGCGAAGUUUUUCUCAGGGCCAGAGGACAUGUGGCUGCGUCAUCACUUUUAUAAGCUCGGCCUCAAAGCUGCCCGCAAAGUCAAGACGGACUCCAGCAGGAGGGAGGCUGAGGCCAGUGCACACCUCGCCCACCUGUAUUUAGAGCGAGGAGACUUGGAACUGGCACAGGAGUACUUUGAGAUGUUUCAUCACCUGGCAGUGGGACAGUCGUGGCAGGACGAGAGUGGGCACACACACCUGUCUCGUGCGUGUGAAAGUCUCUGCAGGGUUUACACACUGCUGGCACAGAGGCAGCUGCAGUGUGGGGAAUACCGAGCAGCCAUUCAGCUCCUCAACCAGGCUUAUGAGAUGGCUAAAGAAGCGGGUGAUAAGACACUGGAGGGCGAAGCAGUGUACAGAGUCGGACUGGCCUAUCAGAGCAUGGGCAAUCAAACAACUGCUAAACAGUUCCUGAACAUGUUCAUGGAGAUCUCCACAGCACUGGGAGACAUGGAGAGCCUAGGCAAAGCCUAUAAGGCCAUUGCUAAAUCUCUGGAGAGUGAGGGCAAAAUAAGUGACGCCAUCGAGCAUCUACAGAAAUAUCUCGAGGUUUGUCAGGAGAACAAUCAGCAUGAAAAUCUACAGGACGCUUACAUGUGCCUGGGGUCCAUACACAUCUCUAGAGCUCAGUAUGAACGAGGCUGUGAGUAUUUUACACAGGCCUUUGAGAUGGCAUGCAGCCUCGACUCGAAUCCAUGCAUUGAGAAAGCUCAGCUGUGUGUGGGCAUCGCCCGAGCUCAUUCCAUGCUGAGAGCGUACACUAGCCACUUGCAGAUCAACAAGCCACCAAACAUCUCUACACUCAUCUCCUGGAAAGAAACACAAGAGGAUAAGUUCCAUGAGACAUUGUGUGAGUUUGCUGGAUCCACACAUUGCAGUUAGACUUAUGAGAACUGGUCUUAAAAGGUGCUGAUGUGAACAUGCUGGAACUGGUGCCUUAUCUAGAAUCAUUCAACAUGUUUUUUCACUGCAAUUACCGCACUGCAUGGCAAAGUCCCACUGACGAUCAAGAAUCUCAUUGACUAGCAAAGACCUCAGAGGCUACCAAAGACCCCACUGAGUACCAAAGACCUCAUAGGCUACCAAAGACCACACUGAGUUCCAAACAUCCAGUGGGCUAUCAAAGACCCCACUGAGUACCAAAGACCCCACUGAGUACCAUAGACCCUACUGCGUACCAAAGACCCCACUGCUUACCAAAGACCCCACUGCGUACUAAAGGCCCCACAGGCUACCAAAGACCCCAAUGGCUACCGAAGUUCCCAUCGGCUAUCAAAGACCCCAUAGGCUACCAAAGACCGCAUUGGCUUCCAAAGACCCCAUAGGCUACCAAAGACCCCAAAGAAAUAAUGAAAUAAAAAGAUGAUGAGUGGAGAGAAGAAAACCCAGACCUCUAGCUUUUUCUUUCUUUCUUUUGUAUUUCUUUUCUUUUGUUUUAUUUCAUCCCUAACAAUACUGAAAUCUCAAUCAUUAGAUGAAUAUAAAGCAUUAAAUUCACCUUUCAGGAAGCUGAUGCGUAUAUCCUGAUCACUUAGUCUUAGAUAUCUCUCUCAUUUUGAGUUGUCUAAUUAGAGAGAAAGAAAGAGUGGAUUGAUUUAUUCCCAGUAUUUUAGCAAAAAUUUAUCAUAUUCCACUAGAAACGCUAUUGAGUGUGCACUUCACAUUCUUUUUGUAUUUUAAUGUGAGUACUAUCACACUAAAAUGGAUUACAACGCACCAUAUUUCUAUUUCUUGUUCUAUUCAGUACCUGUGAUUCACUUAUCAUAACAAUUAGCAAUAUUUAUGGAAGUAGACACACAAACCCCCUUUCGUGUCUGUGAACCAUCCUGAUAGUGUCAAAAUGAUGACUGUAAUAUUGUUGUAAAAACUAUUUUACAUGUUUGUUGGAGAAACCGAAUCGACCACAUAAAGUUUCACGUUGGAAAAAAUAAUUUUAGUAGACAGCCUAAUUCUAUUAUUUGAUACAAUGUCUUCUUUGAUAAAAUGUUUUUUUUUUUAUUGCAAUUAUGUAAUUGACCAAUAGGGGGCAAAAUUGCAUAAAAAACAUGUAUUACGCUAUGGUGCAUUGACCAGGAAAUUGUAAAU